GUCUUUUUGAUAAUGAUUUAAAGUCUAACCUGCCCUAUGAGAAAUUAAAUGGCCGCGGUAUUUUGACCGUGCAAAGGUAGCAUAAUAAUUAGUUUUUUAAUUGAAAGCUGGAAUGAAUGGUUGGACGAGAAAAUUUCUGUCUCAGUUUAAUUUUAAAUGAAUUUUAUUUUUAAGUAAAAAAGCUUAGAUUUUUUUAAAAGACGAGAAGACCCUAUAGAGUUUUAUAAUUUUAUUAUUAAAAAUUUUUUAGUAUUUUUAUAUUUUUAUUUGUAAAAUUAUUUUGUUGGGGUGAUGGAAAAAUUUAAUAAACUUUUUUUAUAUUUUAUCAUUGAUUUAUGUUUUUUUGAUCCAAUUUUUUUGAUUAUAAGAUUUAAUUACCUUAGGGAUAACAGCGUAAUUUUUUUUUAGAGUUCUUAUCGAAAGAAAAGUUUGCGACCUCGAUGUUGGAUUAAAAUUAAUGUUUGGUGUAGGGGCUAAAUGGUUAGGUCUGUUCGACCUUUAAAAUUUUACA
rnacentral:rRNA from 1 species